CCCCGCGGGGAGCGGCCGGUACCGCGCUGGGAAGCCCUGAGGCAGCCGAGGAACCUCCAGCUCUGUCCCCAGCACCUAAGGAGAUAGGCGCUAACUCCCAGCUGGGUUUUUAUCCUCCCGACUAGGGCGUGAAACGGGAAGGAAAAUAGAGUCAUGCGUUUCACCUGGCCUCUGCGGGAGAAAUACGAAGCAGCCCUCAGCAAUGGAUUAUCCAGAGGAGACUGGGAGACUUCGAUGAUCCGAGAUCACGCUUCCAGAGUGUCUCUUUGCAGCUGUGGAGCAGUUGUGCUGUAUCAUGGUCAAAGUCAACCAGCAGAGCCAUGAGCUCCCUCCUGCAGUGACCCACCACUGUGCGCAGGUGUGGGGUGAAGGAAACUGUUGGUUGAACGCACAGUGGGAAGAGCUGAGCCUGCAGGAGAGGAAGCAAUGGGUAAAGCAAAUCCACAGUAGGGGUAAUGAAAGAAGUAACCCCCACUGAUGGCAAGAAAAGCCACAACUAUUCUGACAAGAGUGUCCAGUAGUCCUCUCAGGUCUCCUGUGCUCACUGUGGCAACUGGUGAGCAGAGAUGGUAGCAGUAACUAGGAAGAUCCAGGUAGGGUAAGGAGAGAGGAGACACUGAAUGCCAGAACACCUUGCUACAGCUUGGAGAACAAGGAGGUGGGUGAUAGUAAAAUGCCAUGUCUGGAAGAGCUCCAGGUAAGGAAAGCAGUCUCAUUCACAGGGAUUAUCCCACGCAGUGAGAGGAGCCACAGUCCUAUAGCAUUCCACAUGAUCACAACAUUUGCACCAAAGGAUAUUAAACUACAUCAGGACUACUAACCUUAAUUCUGGUGCUUGCUAACUUUUGGGUGGCUUUUUGCAGUGCUAAGGAUCUUUCCCUGCGUGCUGAUUUCCAAAUAGAAAUCAGUACAUUCCACUCCAAGGGUUUGGGCCUGUGUCUGUAUAGUAAGCAGUGGAUGUGAAAUCAUAUUAUACAUGACCUAACCAAGGUCCUGAUUUUACUAUUUCUCGUACUUAAUUGGCAUAUCUAUUUGGGCAGACAGUACUGCUAAAAUAAAGGAUUGUUUCUCAGAGCAAAGAGUUGGCAGGAAUCUUCUAUAACCAGAGUAUUCUAAUUAUUAAAAACAAUUAAAGUAUUAUCAGACAGUGAAAAGAAUUCAUCAAUGACUUCAGCUGGAACAAGAACAUCAUUAAGAUAGAGUCAUAUCACAUAAGUGUCUCUUGUUAAGUUAGAGAAGAUAUAACAUUUAUACUACCUGGAAAAUAUAAUAUGAUGUAUUAUGAGUAUAUGAUGCAUUAUGAUGUAUAAUGAGGCUUUUUCAAAGAAGUAGGAGGCAAGACAAAACAAGAAUUAAUAAAAAAAUUAGGAGGCAUUGAAUCAAGGAGUGUAAAUAUUUUUAAAAAAUUAAUAAAAUUUGAAAACAUACACACAAUAUUUUAAAGAAAGCUUAUGACCUUUUAACUAUUUUGAUUUAUACUAUUUUGAACUUGCACUUUUUUCCCAGUCUGAAAGAUUAAUUAUAGUUUUUUAGGCAAAAUAUGACUUGGGGUUGUCUUGCCAAAACGUGAGUGAAGCUUAGCAACAAGUACAUAUUUGUAUAAAUAAAUGAUAUAAUUAUUUUUCUGUUGUCUUAUAAUAUCACAUUCAGGAUAUAACAGCACAGACACAAUAACCACUAGGACUUUAAACAAAAAUCACUUUAAGAAUUACCUAGCAAAACAUUUUCUCAUCAAUGGCUUUGCAUAAGUCUCAUCAAUUCUAAAAUUAUGAUUUGCUGUCACUGCAUACUUGAAGAAAUCACAACUUUUUCCCUACUGCUUUCUCUGUCUUGCAAAUUAGAUGCUCAUGACACAGGAAAAGAUGCCAGUUUUCGCACUUCAUCAGCCAAUUGGUACAGGAGCACCACUUUUGGCUCCCAGCAGAAUACUUAAGAGCUUCCCAGAAUUCAAUGUCUAGGUGCAAACUACUGCCUUAUGUAGGCUAUACUUCAGCACAGCUCCAAGACAACUUAUUUUCAGCUGGUUUAUGAUACAAACUACACCCACUAAGGAACAAUUGUGUGCCUUAAGGAUGGAGAUCGGAGUAAGCUGAGUAUACAAAAAAAAAUCCACAUUAAAAUAGACAUUGCAGGCACUUGCUGACUCAUGUGUUCAGGCAAACACAUAGACUUUUUUAUCUACCAUCUUGUCUUCCUUAGCUUGAGUGAAUUCCUUGACUGUUCUUGAAAAUCUGUCCCUAUCUGAAGUAACUGUAGACAACGCUGCAGUGUUUUUGUACAGUGGGCUGCAUCAGAUCAUCUUGAAACUGAGUACAGAAACCUGUUAAAUACACUUAUCACCACCCAAUCUU